rnacentral:rRNA from 1 species
AUUGAACGCUAGCGGCAGGCCUAACACAUGCAAGUCGAGCGAGUGGCGGACGGGUGAGUAAUAUAUGGGAACGUGCCUGGUGGCGGGGGAUAACUACUGGAAACGGUAGCUAAUACCGCAUACCAUCGGAUGUGCCCAUAUGGGAUUAGCUAGUUGGUGGGGUAAAGGCGCACCUAGGCGACGAUCCCUAGCUGGUGUGAGAGGACGACCAGCCACACUGGAACUGAGACACGGUCCAGACUCCUACGGGAGGCAGCAGUGGGGAAUAUUGGACAAUGGGGGCAAGCCUGAUGCAGCCAUGCCGCGUGUAUGAAGAAGGCCUUCGGGUUGUAAAGUACUUUCAGCGGGGAGGCGGUACCCGCAGAAGAAGCACCGGCUAACUCCGUGCCAGCAGCCGCGGUAAUUC